AAGACUAUACUUUCAGAGACUAUUUCUAUAGUUUAUUACUAGAGAAGUUUCUCUGAUCAUGUAGAGUACUUGCAACCACAAAGAGGGGCCAGAGAAUCCUCUCUCGAGCAUGAAGCCAGUUCUACUUUUGCACCUGCCUUUUACCAUUGACAACUGUUAUUGUCUUCCUUUGUAAGAGGGAGAGGGAGAGGAUGUAGUCUGAGUAGU